rnacentral:rRNA from 1 species
UGGGGAAUAUUGGACAAUGGGGGCAACCCUGAUCCAGCAAUGCCGCGUGUGUGAAGAAGGUCUUCGGAUUGUAAAGCACUUUCGACGGGGACGAUGAUGACGGUACCCGUAGAAGAAGCCCCGGCUAACUUCGUGCCAGCAGCCGCGGUAAUACGAAGGGGGCUAGCGUUGCUCGGAAUGACUGGGCGUAAAGGGCGUGUAGGCGGUUUACACAGUCAGAUGUGAAAUCCCCGGGCUUAACCUGGGAGCUGCAUUUGAUACGUGUAGACUAGAGUGUGAGAGAGGGUUGUGGAAUUCCCAGUGUAGAGGUGAAAUUCGUAGAUAUUGGGAAGAACACCGGUGGCGAAGGCGGCAACCUGGCUCAUGACUGACGCUGAGGCGCGAAAGCGUGGGGAGCAAACAGGAUUAGAUACCCUGGUAGUCCACGCUGUAAACGAUGUGUGCUAGAUGUUGGGUAACUUUGUUAUUCAGUGUCGCAGUUAACGCGUUAAGCACACCGCCUGGGGAGUACGGGCCGCAAGGU